rnacentral:misc_RNA from 1 species
GAUGAAGAACGCAGCGAAAUGCGAUAAGUAAUGUGAAUUGCAGAAUUCAGUGAAUCAUCGAAUCUUUGAACGCACCUUGCGCUCUUUGGUAUUCCGAAGAGCAUGCCUGUUUGAGUGUCAUGAAAAUAUCAACCUUGACUUGGGUUUUGUGCUCUAGUCUCGGCUUGGAAUUGGGUGCUUGCCGCUUUUACGAGCGGCUCACCUUAAAUGUAUUAGCUGGAUCUGUCUUUGAGACUUGGUUUGACUUGGCGUAAUAAGUCUUUCGCUAAGGACAUUCUUCGGAGUGGCCUCGUUUCUAGGACGCUUGUCCGCUUUCCAAUACAAGUUCCACCUCGUGGACAUGACUUUUUAUUAUCUGGCCUCAAAUCAGGUAGGACUACCCGCUGAACUUAAGCAUAUCAAUAAGCAGAGGA